GCAAGACUGUGGUGUGUGCUGGACGCUGCUGUUCUCUCUGUGUCCAGCUUUCGCUGUUCUCUCCUCUCUCCUCUCAGGUUUUCUGGUUUAUCACCUCUGUCGGAAAAAAGCUAAAGAACCUGAAGCUGAUCAGCAGAAACCUCAAACAAGACUGAAUCAGGAUGAAGAUGUGUGUUAUGCUGCAGUGGAAAUCCGUCAAGCGUCACAGAGACCAAAGAAGAAGAAAACCCAGAGUUCUGACUUCUGCACAUAUUCUGCCAUCAAUACAUCGAGGAUGUAGAGAGCUUAAAGAACAGAAAAGAACAAACAUUAUAAAUUAUAUAAUGAUGAUUAAUGAUGAAAGGUAUAAUUCAUUUGGGAUAAGUAUAGACCAUUCUGUUACUUAUCGCAGGGUGUGAUUUUCCGAGGGGAUGCGUGGGAUUUUUGCGAAGUGAACUCUUAACACUUAUUUUUGAGAUUAUUUUCCAUUGAAUAUUGAAGUGCAUAAAUACGUGUUUUGGCAUGGCUGGCUGAGUGGCACUAUAUCCAUAGUAUUGAAAAGGGUAAUUAAUUAUUGCAUGUUUUAUUUUGUUGUGCCCAAUCAAUCAAACUUUUUUCACAAA